GUUCGUCCUCAGUUGAUCGCCGCUGUGGUAACUGCUGCUGCUGCUCGCUUCUUCUCUUUAUGUAACUGCUGCUUGUGUUGAUAGCAUAGAUAUAAGUUAUACCAGAAGGGUAUUUUCGUCCAGUCAAGUAUAAGUUUUUUAAAGGAAUGGCUAAAGUCUAAAUAUAUUGAAAAUAGUGGCUUUAAAAUAAAAGCCACUGCUUUUAGUGGCUAUAUGUGUCGUUCGCCCUCAGAUUUUUCUCUUGAGAGACAUUAAAAAACCUAGGAGAGCUUCAUCUUCCACACACAACAAAAACCCUAGGACCCAAAACACAAACAGCCGCCGCCACCCUGCUCUCCAAAACCUAUUGCCGUCGCCGCACAACCUUCCCCAGUUGCAGGAAAUCACAUAGACUCACCACCCCUCAGCCGUCGCCCACCCUAACCACCCCAGAACCACCUCAGAAAACCUUUCUCCUCCAUCCCCAAGACAGCACCCGUGACCUUCUUCCAAAAACAAGACAACAAGACCAUCUUCUUCCUCAUGAACCUUGGAGUAACAACAAUGGAGGAAAAAGCCUAAAAAGACAUUGAACUAAACCCUUGAACCGGAGCUACUAGUCUUCUUCUUUCUUCACAUUAACCUUAGAACCUUAGAACUUGAAGACCAUAUCCAUGGCUUCCUCCUUCCUCGGCCUUGAACGAAAACAAAAGCCCUAAGACCCUUCUCCUUCAGCGAGCAAAAACAGCCCUCCUACCGCCACAACCAUCUUCAGUAGCCACCGCCGAACAUAAACCAGAACUCGAUCUCCAUCCGCUUUUGCUUCUUCACCGUCCCUCCAAACCGUCAUCAGAACGACGGAUCUCCAUACUAUCGUGAAGACAACACCAGCUACUCCCAGAUCUUCUUCUUCGCGGAUAGGUAGAAGCAGCAAUUAGAGCCCCCUGAACUCUUCCAUCAACAACGAAAAUCCCAGCAAUCCAAUGUUGGCGGUGGACUACUAUGGUUUAAUAUUGAAAUUCUUGCAUCAGAUCUUUAAGUUUGAAUUUCGGAACAUUGGUGUUCGAGUCGUGGAGUCCGAUUAAGAAGUUGAUGUUCGAGGUUGGAGGUUGCAGCCACUGUUCCCAUUUUGUAGCUAUUUUUUUAUCAGAUUUCGUCAUUCGACAUUCUUCGUGACACAUCUGAGCAGCAUUUUGAUUAAGAAAAUGAGAGGUACACAUUUUAAACCUGAUUCAAUGUAGCAUCUUCAGUUGAGAGUGAAAUGAAAUUGAACAAUUCCUCUACUGUUGAUUUAUUAUUUUAAUAAUUCUAUUAUGCCUUAGAUAAUUUUCUAUGAUUUGGUUAGUUGAAUAUUGUAAUUAAACUAGAGACACUUUGGACUAUUGAUUAUAUAACCACAACUAUAUUGGACUGUAA